rnacentral:sRNA from 1 species
AUAAACCGCUGCUGGAGCUGGCUGCAAGGCAAGC